rnacentral:rRNA from 1 species
UACCAGCUCUCCGAGUGGUAGGGAUGAUUAUUGGGCUUAAAGCGUCCGUAGCCGGCUUAGCAAGUUUCCUGUUAAAUUCAGCGACCUAAUCGUUGAGCCGCGGGAAAUACUACUAGGCUAGGAGGCGGGAGAGGUCGACGGUACUUCUGGGGUAGGGGUGAAAUUCUAUAAUCCCGGGAGGACCACCAGUGGCGAAGGCUGUCGACUAGAACGCGCUCGACGGUGAGGGACGAAAGCUGGGGGAGCGAACCGGAUUAGAUACCCGGGUAGUCCCAGCUGUAAACGAUGCGGGCUAGGUGUUGGGGUGGCUACGUGCCACUUCAGUGCCGCAGGGAAGCCAUUAAGCCCGCCGCCUGGGGAGUACGGCCGCAAGGCUGAAACUUAAAGGAAUUGGCGGGGAGCACCACAAGGCGUGAAGCUUGCGGUUC